UACAUCUAUAAUAUCAUUAUGACAUUUUGCCACAUUUGUGAAAUUGUGAUCUAAAAUUAUGAAUCUCAUUUUGCAGUCCAACUUGCUAAGGGAUACCCACUGCCCACAAUUGGAAAGAUGAAGCUUAUGAACACCCAGCUUGAUGUGCUGAAGGACUACAUCCUGAUUGGGACAGAUGUUCAGUUCAGCUGAACUGCACUCCUGAAAACUCCCAGGAUUCUUUUCUGCAUUCUGGCGUCCUUCCAUGAAGACACAAUUACAGUCAGAGUACGAUAAUCUGGUAGAAAUCCCCAAGAAAACAGCUAAAUAAGUAUUACUUUUGACAGCAGUCAGAAUAUUGUGUUUUCUAUGUAUUGGUUCUCCUCUGAAGUUAACCAUUUCUAUAUUUAGUGCGUAUGGACUUUUUUAAUAUAAGUGAAAUGAGUUGCCAAGGACAUCAUCAGCACACUCAUCAGCUAAAUGUCUUCUGAGCUCCAGUCUGUAGACCACUUUAGGACUGCUAGUCUUUUUGCAACUGCAUACAUCACUCUGUGGUUGGUAGAGAUUAAAAGAAUAUAAAUAUAAACUACUUCCACAUGGUUUUAUGGGUGAAGCUACAUGACAUUAAUCUUAGCAACCAGGAUACAGUUGCCAAGCUAGCUGUAACCAAGCUAGCUGUAACCAAACUAGCUGUAACCAAGCUAGCUGUAACCAAGCUAGCUGCACAAAUAUGACAUGAUUCAUUUGCAACAAUAAGUAUUUUGGCAAAGGAAAGCUAAGCUACUACUUCAGCCCUGCAGUCUGAGUUAACCUUUUUCUCUCAAGACUACAUUUUGACAUAUAAGUCAGCUUGGAAUUACUUAGUUGGGAUUAGAAUUGGACUGUAGAAUUUACCUUAGCGUGUCAGCCGGCUAAUAUUAGCUAACGCUUGCUUCCCUGUUUGCUUUUUGUAAGUUACCUUACAGCAUGUUCAGACAUUGGCAAUUUAGAGUGCUUAAUAAAUGACAAAGUCACAUAAAA